UACGAAGGGGGCUAGCGUUGCUCGGAAUCACUGGGCGUAAAGGGUGCGUAGGCGGGUCUUUAAGUCAGGGGUGAAAUCCUGGAGCUCAACUCCAGAACUGCCUUUGAUACUGCAGAUCUUGAGUUCGGGAGAGGUGAGUGGAACUGCGAGUGUAGAGGUGAAAUUCGUAGAUAUUCGCAAGAACACCAGUGGCGAAGGCGGCUCUCUGGCCCGAUACUGACGCUGGGGCACGAAAGCGUGGGGAGCAAACAGG
rnacentral:rRNA from 1 species